UACGUAGGGGGCGAGCGUUGUCCGGAGUUACUGGGCGUAAAGAGCGCGCAGGCGGUCGAUCAAGUCGAGUGUGAAAGCCCCCGGCUCAACUGGGGAGGGUCAUUCGAUACUGAUCGACUCGAAGGCAGGAGAGGGUAGUGGAAUUCCCGGUGUAGUGGUGAAAUGCGUAGAUAUCGGGAGGAACACCAGUGGCGAAGGCGACUACCUGGCCUGUUCUUGACGCUGAGGCGCGAAAGCUAGGGGAGCAAACGGG
rnacentral:rRNA from 1 species